rnacentral:rRNA from 1 species
GACGGGCCCGCACAAGCAGCGGAGCGUGUGGUUUAAUUCGAUGUUACACGAAGAACCUUACCAGGGUUUGACAUGCAAGUGGUAGGAAGCCGAAAGGUGACCGACCCUUCGGGGAGCCUAUACAGGUGUUGCAUGGCUGUCGUCAGCUCGUGUCGUGAGAUGUUCGGUUAAGUCCGCUAACGAGCGCAACCCUCGUCGUAUGUUAUAUGUGUCAUACGAGACUGCCGGUAAAAGCCGGAGGAAGGUGAGGAUGAUGUCAAGUCAGCAUGACCUUUAUAUCCAGGGCUACACACACGCUACAAUGGUCUGUACAAUGGGUAGCCAAGCCGCGAGGCGGAGCCAAUCCUGAAAGCAGGCCUCAGUUCAGAUUGCAGUCUGCAACUCGACUGCAUGAAGCCGGAGUUGCUAGUAACCGCAGGUCAGCAAUACUGCGGUGAAUACGUUCCCGGGUCUU